rnacentral:lncRNA from 1 species
ACUGUGGCGUGGUGGAAAGGAGAGAGCGGAGGGCAAUUGCGAGCCUGAGGAGGAGCGUCCUCAAAAUCAAGCGUUUCUGAAGCCCGGGACAGAUGCUUUCUGUGUUGUUCUAAAACACGCUUGUAAGGAGGAGAAUCCUCGGUUCAGAAGAGCUGAGGAGAGGCCACAGUUGAACUCAGACACCAGGAGAGAGAGGCUUUGAAUCUGCCUGAAAGCCAUCCUAUUUUUUGCUGACAAUGUGCAGGUACAUUGCUUUUGCUGUGGACCCCAGCCUUUUGCCAGCCAUGUGUAUAUCCCACCUAGGCUCCUCAUGCCUUGCUUCUAGUGGCUUUUGAGUCUGUGCUAACAUGAGAGAUCUUCUAACAUAAUAAUUAAGAGAAUGGGUUUAGAGCCAUGCAGACCUGUGUUUAAAGACAUCUGUGCUCCACCAUUUAGCACAGAGAUUGCCACUGAUAUAAAUACUUGAUGCUUUCUCAGCAUGACUGGAAUACGGUCCAAGGAACUGAGCCUCUGCUGAGUGCAAUAGUAAGUAGUGAUUUACAGUCUUUAAAUGUUGUCUCUGGGAGAAAAGUAUGAGCUACUGUAGAAAAAGUAUUGAGAUAUUAUCUAUUGGUCUAUUCUAGUGGAGCUUGCCUUGAGUCAACAUGGCUGAAACCAGAUAGUUUACACUCCACUCUUUCAGGGGGUCUCCAUGAGCAUCAGUAUCUGUAUAUUGUGAGAUUUUAAUGUCUUCUGUCCUCACUGAAAGUUAAAAAGCAAAUGAAGUGUAACUUAAUGUAAGCUGUAAACCUAUUUUGGCUAGAGUAUGAUCUAGAAAGUUCAUGGUUGUGUGUGACUCCAGGGCAAUUCAAACAACAUGAUGCUCAAGGUCCAAAGCAGAGAUUAAUAAUCAGGCUAGCAGUGAGGCUUUGAGGUUAGAUGUGAAGGUGAUCUUAGAGGGCAAGAAAACUACUAAAUGUUUAUCAAAGAAUCUAAUGUAAAUGGUAAUGUAUUUUAUCUUCAUGUAAAUCAGGCUGUGAACUAGGAGUCAAGGCCAUCUGUCUAAUUAGCCUUUCUUUCCUUUCUCUAAAAGACAAGUCUGUGUUUUUUGCUCAAUGAUGAAGGCAGUGCUACUGUUCAGUUCAAAGAAGUCUUGCUAUGGAGUAGAUUUUAUGUUGUGCCAUGAUGCUCAGUGUGUUCAAAUAGUUGAUUCAGCAAUUCUUCCAACACUGGCUUUUUCCCACCUUAAAUGAAGAUACCUUUAUAGAAAAGUUAAUUAUUAGUAUAAGUGGAAAGAAAAUGACUUUAUUGUUAUAGUUUAGUAAUUGUGAGGAUAUAAUUCAAACCGUACUCAGACUUCUUGGAAAUAAGAAAGAUAUAAGCAGAAAAACUUUAGCAA